rfam:Gossypium hirsutum cultivar TM-1 scaffold6740.1_1, whole genome shotgun sequence
GGGUGCGAUCAUACCAGCACUAAUGCACCGGAUCCUAUCAGAACUCCACAGUUAAGCGUGCUUGUGCGAGAGUCAUACUAGGAUGGGUGACCUCGUGAGAAGUCCUCGUGUUGCACCCC